AAUGUGCGGAGCCUUUUAUUUAGAUGUUUAGUCGAAAUAAUGUUGAUCGAAUUCGACGACAGACGACGUGUUCUAUUGUUGUCACGUAACCAGUUUAUUUACUUACCACUAUACCGGCAUUUGCUGUCUGACUCGAGUGAAUUUACUCUGCCUGUUUACAUAAAAGCUGCGGGGGGAAAAACGUUUCUUAUUCAGAUGAGUCGGGAUUGGGACGUGGCUCGGAUCAAGAAGUUUAUUGCUCCAAAACUUGGCCUGCAAGUCAAAGACAUCAGCAUUAUCCUUGCUGGUAAAAGUCUUGCUGACAAUCUUCUACUAGAGGAAUGUGAUCUUGGUCACAAUAGCAUUCUUAAUGCCGUAAAACUUAAGGUGAUAAAAAAAGAUGAUGCAAUACCUUCCAAUGAAAAGAAGUCGGAAGGCACACCAUUUCACCAGGAUAAGCCUUUGUGUGAAACAUUGCUUGACCUACAAUUGACAGAAGAAGAACAAAAGUUGCUGCACAAAUCACUUGGCUGCAGCUCUCCUGAAUAUAAACAGAAGAAGGCUCAUUUCUAUGUUUAUUGUGAAUCUCCCUGCAAAUCAGUCCAGAAUGGUAAACUUCGGGUCCGUUGUAGCCUUUGCAAAGCCGGUGCCUUCACGGUGGACCGAGAUCCGUGCUGUUGGGAUGAUGUCUUGCGACCCGAGCAAGUAAGCGGCACUUGCCAAAUGGAAGGUUGUGAUCAUUCGUGGGCCGAAUUCUACUUCAAGUGCGCACACCAUCCUUCGCAAGGAGAGAUGGAUUCUACCCUUCCACUCUAUCUGGUCAAAUCGAAUUUCAAACAGGUCCAAUGUCUGGCCUGUAUGGAUAUUAGUGAUCCUGUGUUGGUCUUUCAGUGUUCCAGUUCCCAUGUGAUAUGUUUAGAAUGCUUUCAACAAUACUGUAUGUCUCGGUUGAACGAGAGACGCUUUGUUUUCAAUCCAAAUAUCGGUUACACUCUACCCUGCCCAGCUGGAUGCGAAAACUCACUGAUUGAUGGAACCCAACAUUUCAAAAUUCUUGGAGGUGAGCAGUACCAGCGGCUUCUGCACUUUGGGGCAGAGGAAUACGUUAUGUCGGUAGGUGGUGUGCUUUGUCCGCAACCCGGAUGUGGCAUGGGAUUACUUGCAGACCCUUCCUGUAGACGGAUUCAGUGCACAGGAGGAUGUGAGGUUAUCAUAUUGACGAAUGUCAACCGAAUGGAGAUGGUAAUUUUCAAUCCAUGCUGACAACCACAGAGUAUGUUGUUGAUCCUAGGCGAGCUGCACAGGCGAUGUGGGAUGCAGACAGUCGCGUUACUAUACGUGUCACUUCAAAACCAUGUCCCAAAUGCCGAACGCCAACUGAACGCGAUGGAGGUUGUAUGCAUAUGAUUUGUACUCGCCAACAGUGCGGGUUUCAUUGGUGCUGGGU
rnacentral:misc_RNA from 1 species